UUAAGCAUAUCAAUAAGCGGAGGAAAAGAACCAACAGGGAUUGCUCUAGUAACGGCGAGUGAAGCAGCAAUAGCUCAAAUUUGAAAUCUGGCGUCUUCGACGUCCGAGUUGUAAUUUGUAGAGGAUGCUUCUGAGUGGCCACCGACCUAAGUUCCUUGGAACAGGACGUCAUAGAGGGUGAGAAUCCCGUAUGCGGUCGGAAAGGCGCUCUAUACGUAGCUCCUUCGACGAGUCGAGUUGUUUGGGAAUGCAGCUCUAAAUGGGAGGUAAAUUUCUUCUAAAGCUAAAUAUUGGCCAGAGACCGAUAGCGCACAAGUAGAGUGAUCGAAAGAUGAAAAGCACUUUGGAAAGAGAGUUAAAAAGCACGUGAAAUUGUUAAAAGGGAAGGGAUUGCAACCAGACUUGCUCGCGGUGUUCCGCCGGUCUUCUGACCGGUCUACUCGCCGCGUUGCAGGCCAGCAUCGUCUGGUGCCGCUGGAUAAGACUUGAGGAAUGUAGCUCCCUCGGGAGUGUUAUAGCCUCUUGUGAUGCAGCGAGCGCCGGGCGAGGUCCGCGCUUCGGCUAGGAUGCUGGCGUAAUGGUCGUAAUCCGCCCGUCUUGAAACACGGACCAAGGAGUCUAACAUCUAUGCGAGUGUUCGGGUGUCAAACCCCUACGCGUAAUGAAAGUGAACGGAGGUGAGAACCGCAAGGUGCAUCAUCGACCGAUCCUGAUGUCUUCGGAUGGAUUUGAGUAAGAGCAUAGCUGUUGGGACCCGAAAGAUGGUGAACUAUGCCUGAAUAGGGUGAAGCCAGAGGAAACUCUGGUGGAGGCUCGCAGCGGUUCUGACGUGCAAAUCGAUCGUCAAAUUUGGGUAUAGGGGCGAAAGACUAAUCGAACCAUCUAGUAGCUGGUUCCUGCCGAA
rnacentral:rRNA from 1 species